rnacentral:rRNA from 1 species
UACGUAGGGCGCAAGCGUUAUCCGGAAUUAUUGGGCGUAAAGAGCGUGUAGGCGGUUUGAUAGGUCAGCUGUGAAAACUCGGGGGCUCAACCCUGAGACGUCGGUUGAAACCAUCUGGCUAGAGUCCGGAAGAGGAGUGUGGAAUUCCUGGUGUAGCGGUGAAAUGCGCAGAUAUCAGGAGGAACACCGAUGGCGAAGGCAGGUCUCGUGGGCAUUAACUGACGCUGAGGAGCGAAAGCAUGGGGAGCGAACAGG